CGUUCAGAGAACAGAAUGGUGUUCUUUACCCGUUGAAUCCAGUUUGAGCGGGCUGGGGGCGGGGGUGGCCAGACAAGCACAAACCUCUCAGGAGCCCUACCACGACAAGGCCAGAGAACACCCCGAUGACGGAAAGCAUCCAGAUGGAGGCCUCUACAACAAGGGACCCUCCUACUCGAGUUAUUCCGGGUACAUAAUGAUGCCAAAUAUGAAUAACGACCCAUACAUGUCAAAUGGAUCUCUUUCUCCACCCAUCCCGAGAACAUCAAAUAAAGUGCCCGUGGUGCAUCGACCCCAAAGGAACACUGACAUCAAUUUUACCCUGAGGUCACUGCUAGAGACGCUGAUCCAUAAAGACAAUCACUGCCAACCCCUCUUUCGUCUACUGCAAGAGCCAAGUUCCAAAAUAAAGCAUAAAAAGGUUUUUUAAAAGGAAAUGUAAAAGCACAUGAGAAUGCUAGCAGGCUGUGGGGCAGCUGAGCAGCUUUUCUCCCCUCAUAUCUGCGUGCACUUCCCAGAGCAUCUUGCAUCCAAACCUGUAACCUUUCGGCAAGGACGGUAACUUGGCUGCAUUUGCCUGUCAUGCGCAACUGGAGCCAGCAACCAGCACAUCCAUCAGCACCCCAGUGGAGGAGUUCAUGGAAGAGUUCCCUCUUUGUUUCUGCUUCAUUUUUCUUUCUUUUCUUUUCUCCUAAAGCUUUUAUUUAACAGUGCAAAAGGAUCGUUUUUUUUUGCUUUUUUAAACUUGAAUUUUUUUAAUUUACACUUUUUAGUUUUAAUUUUCUUGUAUAUUUUGCUAGCUAUGAGCUUUUAAAUAAAAUUGAAAGUUCUGGAAAAGUUUGAAAUAAUGACAUAAAAAGAAGCCUUCUUUUUCUGAGACAGCUUGUCUGGUAAGUGGCUUCUCUGUGAAUUGCCUGUAACACAUAGUGGCUUCUCCGCCCUUGUAAGGUGUUCAGUAGAGCUAAAUAAAUGUAAUAGCCAAACCCACUCUGUUGGUAGCAAUUGGCAGCCCUAUUUCAGUUUAUUUUUUCUUCUGUUUUCUUCUUUUCUUUUUUUAAACAGUAAACCUUAACAGAUGCGUUCAGCAGACUGGUUUGCAGUGAAUUUUCAUUUCUUUCCUUAUCACCCCCUUGUUGUAAAAAGCCCAGCACUUGAAUUGUUAUUACUUUAAAUGUUCUGUAUUUGUAUCUGUUUUUAUUAGCCAAUUAGUGGGAUUUUAUGCCAGUUGUUAAAAUGAGCAUUGAUGUACCCAUUUUUUAAAAAAGCAAGGCACAGCCUUUGCCCAAAACUGUCAUCCUAACGUUUGUCAUUCCAGUUUGAGUUAAUGUGCUGAGCAUUUUUUUAAAAGAAGCUUUGUAAUAAAACAUUUUUAAAAAU
rnacentral:lncRNA from 1 species